GAUGAACGCUGGCGGCGUGCCUAAUACAUGCAAGUCGAGCGAAGCGGGGACGGGUGAGUAACACGUGGAUAACCUCCUAUAAGACGGGGAUAACUUCGGAAAACCGGAGCUAAACCGGAAACAUAUAGAUGGAUCCAAGCUGCAUUAGAUAGUUGGUAAGGUAACGGCUUACCAAGGCAACGAGGCAUAGCGGACCUGAGAGGGUGAUCGGCAACACUGGAACUGAGACACGGUCCAGACUCCUACGGGAGGCAGCAGUGGGGAAUCUUCCGCAAUGGGCGCAAGCCUGACGCAGCAAUGCCGCGUGAUUGAUGAAGGUCUUAGGAUCGUAAAGCUCUUUUAUUCGGGAAGCGUUACCUACUCAGAAAGCCCCGGCUAACUACGUGCCAGCAGCCGCGGUAAUUC
rnacentral:rRNA from 1 species